rnacentral:rRNA from 1 species
UACGGAGGGGGCUAGCGUUGUUCGGAAUUACUGGGCGUAAAGCGCACGUAGGCGGCUUUGUAAGUUAGAGGUGAAAGCCCAGGACUUAACCCUGGAAUUGCCUUUAAGACUGCAUCGCUAGAAUUGUGGAGAGGUAAGUGGAAUUCCGAGUGUAGAGGUGAAAUUCGUAGAUAUUCGGAAGAACACCAAUGGCGAAGGCAGCUUGCUGGGCCUUUUCUGACGCUGAGGCACGAAAGCGUGGGGAGCCGAACAGG